rnacentral:rRNA from 1 species
GAUGAACGCUGGCGGCGUGCCUAAUACAUGCAAGUCGAGCGAACAGACGAGGAGCUUGCUCCUCUGACGUUAGCGGCGGACGGGUGAGUAACACGUGGAUAACCUACCUAUAAGACUGGGAUAACUUCGGGAAACCGGAGCUAAUACCGGAUAAUAUAUUGAACCGCAUGGUUCAAUAGUGAAAGACGGUUUUGCUGUCACUUAUAGAUGGAUCCGCGCCGCAUUAGCUAGUUGGUAAGGUAACGGCUUACCAAGGCAACGAUGCGUAGCCGACCGGAGAGGGUGAUCGGCCACACUGGAACUGAGACACGGUCCAGACUCCUACGGGAGGCAGCAGUAGGGAAUCUUCCGCAAUGGGCGAAAGCCUGACGGAGCAACGCCGCAUGAGUGAUGAAGGUCUUCGGAUCGUAAAACUCUGUUAUUAGGGAAGAACAAAUGUGUAAGUAACUAUGCACGUCUUGACGGUACCUAAUCAGAAAGCCACGGCUAACUACGUG